AUUGCUUCUCAGCCUUUUAGCUAAGAUCAACUGUAGUAUUUGUCCUUACCAGUUUAAUAGCAAGGAAAUUUGGUAAAAAUCCUGGAGAUAGUGUUGAGUGAUAGGUGUGCUGGGAGAAAUAUAUACUCAGUUUACUAACUGGCCUGGGGCUAUUUAAAGUCCUUAUUGGAGACCAAGAAGAUAAGUCCCAAAACCU
ensembl:snRNA U2 U2 spliceosomal RNA